GACGAACGCAGGCGGCGUGCUUAACACAUGCAAGUCGAACGAUGAAGCCUAGCUUGCUAGGUGGAUUAGUGGCGAACGGGUGAGUAAUACGUGAGUGACCUACCUUUGACUCUGGGAUAAGCCUGGGAAACUGGGUCUAAUACCGGAUACGACCAAUCUCCGCAUGGGGUGUUGGUGGAAAGCGUUAUGGAGUGGUUUUAGAUGGGCUCACGGCCUAUCAGCUUGUUGGUGAGGUAAUGGCUUACCAAGGCGACGACGGGUAGCCGGCCUGAGAGGGUGACCGGCCACACUGGGACUGAGACACGGCCCAGACUCCUACGGGAGGCAGCAGUGGGGAAUAUUGCACAAUGGGCGCAAGCCUGAUGCAGCGACGCCGCGUGAGGGAUGACGGCCUUCGGGUUGUAAACCUCUGUUAGCAUCGAAGAAGCGAAAGUGACGGUAGUGCAGAAAA
rnacentral:rRNA from 1 species